rnacentral:tRNA from 1 species
AGCGGGGUAGACCAACGGUAGGUCGGGAGGCUCAUAACCUCCAGGUGUAGGUUCGAUUCCUACCCCCGCAA